GUGUGUGUGUGUGUAAUAGGUGUGUGUCUCUGUGUGUGUGUGUGUGUCUCUGUGUGUGUGUGUGUGUGUGUGUGAUAGGUGUGUGUCUCUGUGUGUGUGUGUGUGUGUGUGUGUGUGUGUGUGUGUGUGUGUGUGUGUGUGUGUGAGACACACUAUGAGACACAGAUGGACAAUCUCACGCGAGGACAAACCAGACUGGGCCGGGUCAACUCACCGUUCUCGUCCUCUCUGGAGCUGAUGGAACCCGUGGUGCUGCUGGCCUCGUCCUCGUCCUCCGUCUCCGGCUCGUCUCCGUUGGACACGCUCGCCCCUGGGGGGGUCGAUGUGGGCGUCUGGGGGGCAGGACGAGCCUCCACGGGCACCUCAGCUGGGGAGGGCAACGCUGCACUUCCCUGGCCUUCCACCAGGGGGCAGGCUUCCAGGCCAUUCUCCUGACUCAGCACACACUCACUGCUCCCCCCGUUGGUCUGAGGGGGCAGAUCCUCCUCACACACAGGCUGGGCCAACACUGGGGGGACGGGGAGGGGGACGGGGGCGGGGGCGGGGAGGGGCAGUUUGGGCUUCUUAGUCGCCACAGGAGGUUUCUGCUUCGGGGCAGUUGGGGCAGUUGGCCUCUGCGUCUCCACUGGGCUGAUAAGCAGAGGGGCAGCUGGCAAGGCCUUCUCCUCCUCUUCCUCCUCUUCCUCCUCCUCCUUCACUGGGUGUGCUGACCCGUUAGGGACACAGGGGUUUGGCUCCCCGUGAUCAGAGCCAUUGCAGAGCGGGCCGCUGUCUGGUACCGCGACAAGAACCACUGCUGCCCCGUCUGGACCGGACCCGUCGCCGCGGGCCACCAGGGGCACCAGGGGCGGCUCAGAGGGGGGUUCUACUCCGGCGGCGGUCUUCACGGGCGCGUGUGGUCUGAGGGUGGUCCGGUCGGGCCUGGCGUCCGGCGGUCCGGCGCGGUCCGUGGCGGUGUCGUCUGUGGCGGGCCGCCGGACGGAGCGGAGCCGGACCCUCUGGAGGGCGGAGGCUGUGAUGAGGGGCGCGGGCGCGGGCGUCUUCUCAGGCCUGGCAGAGGGACCGUUGCUACUGGCAACGCGUUUGAGACCGCCUUUAGCGCUCAGCAGAGCCGCGGGAGACGCCACAGGGGCGGAGGGGGGCGGGAGAGGGGGGGCUGGAGGUGGAGGGGGAGGUG
ensembl:lncRNA